rnacentral:lncRNA from 10 species
CCAUAGAAUGGUAAUACCCCAACUCAGAAGAAAAAGGGAACUCAUUCAAGCGCUCAGGGGGGAAAAAAGAUCCCCUGCUGAUAAAAGGCAUUCAGUGGAAAAAAAAAUUAAUUUACUUGCUUUAGGAAAUAAGGUGCCUAUCUUUAAAGGUAUAUAUGAUCUAUAAAUGAUGAAUUCAUUUCUAAUGCCUCAACAUCUAAGCCCAAAGUAUAGAUUUAUACAAUUGCAGAAGAGUUCUUAACAGCUUUUCCCACAAGGCCCAAAAUGGAAAAGUAAUUUCAAGAAGAAAUGUAACUCUUGUAAUGAGAUGAUUGUUUUAUUAUAGUUUCAAAGUAGUAGAUUAUUAUAAUUUAGUUGACUAAGAAUCUAAGCCAUCCAGGCUGAAACAUUGGGAAAGAUGGCAAAAUUCCUUAUCAUAUAUCAAGCCUGAAAUGUGGAAUAAUUACCAGAUUAUGAAUAUAAGCAAAGUUGUAGUUAUUUUUUAAGUUAGGCAUCUCUAAGUUUAUAUUCAAGUCAUAAGACUGGUGAAAAAAAUCAGAUUAUAGAUGGAAUUUUUUUCCAUUCACUACUCUUCAGAACAUCUUUUGGACAAGAAGAAGUGAUUUUAUUCCUGUUUUUGAGCGAUAAAUGUGAAAAUACUACACUGAAAUAUAAUGCCCUGAGACUUAAAUUCGUAAUGCUAGUCAGCCAAUGGCUACAAAUCUGAUCUGUAUAUCAAUAACCAGCAGCAGAGCGUUAAUGUUAGUUUCAGUCCCAAAGAAAGAGUGAAGCAUCUUCAUUCAGUCUGGAUGUUGUAACAUGAUUGUAUUGAGCAUAUCUUUGUUCCCACAAACAUCAUAAGAAAAAUAUUGACUGUUUCAGCUGAAGUACUAUGUAUUAAAGUCAAAAGAUGACAAUAACUUAGGCCAACAUAUAAGAUAUAAUAUGGAUAGUAUUUAGCAAAUGUAUUAAUUAAAUUACUUCUUUUUUGUGCACUUAAAUGGUUAAGUGUGUGGGGUAAUGGCAGAAGGUGGGGCCUUCAAAAUAAUCCUCAAGGUCAAGAUAGAUUUCUGGAGGUACUAGAAUUAAGGCAGAGAAUGGCUUGGAGAAAACUUAAAAAUCAUCCAGGAUAAAGAUGAUAUUAUACCAGAAGGAGUGGGGAAUAAGCUGAGGAAUAGGAAAGUGGCAUGGUAAGUGUUUGAGGUCAUUGAGACCAGCCUGGCAAAACAUCCAGCAACACUCUCCAGGCCUAGGGAAGGGCUGAUAAGAAGUGUUCCCUGAAGGAAGGAGCUGCUAUGGUUUGAAUGUUCCCCCAAAAUACAUGUUGAAACUUAAUCACCAGUGUGACACUAUUAAGAGAUGAGGCCUUUUGGAGGUGGUUAAGUCAUGAGGGCAGAGGCCUCAUGGAAGGGAUUAGGGCCAUUACAAAAGGGCUUCAGGGAGUGAGUUAGUUUUCUUCCAUUCCCCUGUGGGGACACAGCAACAAGGUGCUAUCUUGAAAUCAGAGAUUGGACCCUCACCAGGCAGUGAACCUGCAGAUGGCACCUUGAUCUUGGACUUCCCAGCCUCCAGAACUCAUGUGAGCAAUAAAUUUCUGUUCCUUACAACUUCCCCAGUCUCAGGUAUUUUGUUAUAGCGGCACAACUGGACUAAGACAGUGGCUACUGUAAUGAUGGAAACAGAGGCAGGGCCAUGUGCUUGUCCCACUAUCUAUGAGUUUGGACACAAGAGGCCUGCAGUUCUUUCCUACAAAAUUCAUGGGCAGGUGUGCUUGUGACUCAGGAAAAGGCUCUGAGCCAUUUAAGGCUCUAUAUCUGUAUUUUCCAGUGUGGUGGUCAUUUGACACAUGUGUCGGCCACUCGAAGUGUGGCUAGUCUGAAUUAAGAUGUGCCAUAAGAUUAAAAUACACAUUGGAUCUUGAAAACUUUAUAUACAAAGGGUAAAAGACAUCAGUGCAAGUGGGAGGCAAUAGAAAUGGGAGCAGGGGUGAACUGGUGGAGCCUCUGUGACCACAAUCUUGUCCUCCACACCUUCACACUUGACAGAUGCAGAUAUAGCUAUGGAUAGAUAUAUGUCUUAUUCAUGGGCUUCCAAAGUAAAAUUUCAGUUAAAGAAAGGAUCCUGGUUGGGAUUUUUUUGUUGUGGUGGUUCUGGUUUUUUUGUUUGUUUGUUUUUUGUUUUUUUGUUUUUGAGAUGGAGUCUUACUCUGCCGCCCAGGCUGGAGUGCAGUGGCAUGAUCUUGGCUCACUGCAACCCACGCCUCCUGAGAUCAAGCAAUUCUGCCUUAGCCUCCUGAGUAGCUGGGACUAGAAGGCAUGCACCAUCACGCCUAGCUAACUUUUGUAUUUUUAGUAGAGACGGGGUUUCACCAUGUUGGUCAGGCUAGUCUUGAACUCCUGACCCCAUGAUCCACCCACCUCGGCCUCCCAAAGUGCUGGGAUUACAGGCGUGAGCCACCACGCCCAUCCUCUGUUUUGUUUUUUAAUCCUGUUUCUCUCUCUUUUUUUUUUUUUUUUUUCCUGUAAAGCAAUUUCACUGGAUGGCAUGGCCAAAGCAUGAUUGAUCUCAGACCUCUUUUCAAGGUUCACUCUGGCCUCUACUGAUCACACAGAGGUGACUGGCUGGUUAGGGGAAUUAAUAUGCUCCCUGUCUUCAUUUAGGCAAGCAGAUCCCUUUCAGUUUUUUCUUCCCCUUCACUGCUCCCCUAUUUGUAACCCCACAAACAUCUGCUGCUCUUUCUCAGAAGAGGAUUUUGCCUCAGCCCAAGUGUGUGGACCAUGGAUGUAAACUUAUUUUCUUUAUGAAAAUAACACACACAAAACAUUCACUGGCCUUGGGUCUCCAACAAUGCCCUCCUCUGUGGCGGAUGGCCUGUUAUUAUUAUGUGUUGCUACAUCAAAGACUGUUAACAUUUUCCCCUUCACUAAACUGAGCAAUCAUGUUUUAUCAUUACGAUAUGCUGUCAGCGCCAGUUUCUCAACCCCAGGAGGCUGGGUCCAACUGUGUUACUGAAGGAUGCAAAGUUAUAAGGUAAACAUGCACGCAAAGCAUUCAUAAACCCCCUCAAGACUUGUUUCAGGUCUAACACUAAAGAAUUAAUCUAACGUUCUCAGCAUCUCCUAGUAGGUUCAGACUGUACCACUUCUACAUAUAAGAAGUUCCUUUAGACAACAAAGUGCAUCAUAACGUACUUUAUCUUUACAAUUGAAUAUUAACUGAACUGAUUUUAAAGAUCUAGAAUUUGGGAAAAAAUAAUCAUAGGUAACAUAUUACUAAGUGUUUUGUUCUGUGCUAAGCACUGCUGUAAGUGAUUUACAUGCAUUAACUCACUUAAAUCCUCACAGCCACAUCGAUCUAUAAGUAAGUACUUUUUUAUUAGCUUAAUUUAAAGAUGAGAAAACAGAAAUACAGAUGGGGUAAAUAAUUUGCCCAAGGUCACAAAACUAGAAAGCAGCAGAGUCAACACUUAAACCCAGACAAUCUGGCACCAGAGCAUCUGCUUUUAACCAUUUUGUGUUAUUUCAUUCACUCUUGUUGUGAUUUUAUAAACUUCUAUCAUGUCCCCCUCAGUCUCCAGACUGCAGUAUAUUUUUAAUUGCCUGUUCAUAAGAAUUUGCUGUUUUUUUCUUUUGUUUUCUUCUGAACUUUUCUAAGUCCAUCAUGACGUGAAUCUCCAUGUGGUCUCACUCUUACAACCGCAGCCUCCACAUUGGGGAAUGGAUCCAGACCUCCACUUUAUUUCCAGAACAGUCUCAAAUAUUGCCCUAAAUUGUGUCAAUGGCUUGGUUGCUACUGCGGAUUGGACUGGUAAAUUCAAGGAAGAGCCUAUGACACUUCUAUUAGAAAAACCAUGUCUUGUUUGCCGUCCCAUCCCUAGCCGGUGGCCCGGGAGCUAGCACGUAGUUUGAACUCAUUAAGCUUCGGUUCAGUGAGUGAGUGACUGAAUGAAUGAAUGAACUGAGAAUGUUUUUUAAACAUACUGUCUUUGUCCAUUCAGACUGCUAUAACAAAAUAUCAUAAACUGAAUGCCUUACGAACAACAGAAAUUUAUUUCUCACAGUUCUGGAGGCUGAAAGUCCAAGAUCAAGGUGCCAGCAUGAUCAGGUUCUGAUAAGGACUCUCUUGUGGGUUACAGACUACUAACUUCUGGCUGUGUCCUCACAUGGUGGAAAGUGUGAGGGUUCUCUCUAGGGCCUCUUUUAUAAGAGCACUAAUCCCAUUCAUGAGGGUUCUGCCCCCAUGAUCACCUUGGGCCUUAGGAUUUCAACAUAUGAAUUUUGGGGGGACACAAAUAUUCAGGUUGUAGCAAGAACGUACCUUUGAAUUAUUCAUUUUUCUAGAGGCAUACCCUGGUCCAUCUGAUGAUAGCUUUCUAGCUACUGGUUUGGCCUUCUGUAAUAGCUGGAAACUUAGAAACCUCCAAAGUCCCUAAAUUCACUACUCUUUUGAAUUAUUUAUGCAGAUAUUAACCAAGUGUCUAUCUCUGGGGAGCUACGUUGUUUACACACCACUUGUUUUGUUUUGUUGUGAUCAUAUUUCCCUCUUUACAGUUUAACUCCAUUUCUUUCCCAUAGAAUUUAGAAAACAUCAGCAUCUUUCUCAUUAUAAUCCAUCUCAUUAUACUCCAUACCAUACUUGAUUUUUGUUUUGGUCAAUGCUCUUUGCAAUUAUGAUUGUCUUCAAUGUUUAGAAAAAAUUCCUCUUCUUGUUCACUGAGUUUCAGGAGGAUGAAGGUAUCUUCCUUUUCUCGUUCAACAUCUUCCUUCUUGUAAUUCUCAAAGGCAUGCAUUUCCUGGUGUUUAUCUCCCUGACAGACGGAUUGUCCAGUGUUUAUUUUCUCUAGCAUGUGACUGAUGCCAAUAAAUAGCUUUCUUCAGAAAGGCAUUUAAUCAAGGACCUGAGCCUGGACAUCAGUGAGUUCUUCGUCUUCCUGGUGGUUGUGCUCUGAAAGGAAAUGCCACUACUGAUUCUGGGUUAGGUGGGGAGCAGCACCCCGAGAAGUCCUGUUUCUAAUGCUCUGUGAAUGGGCCCAAGUCCACCUGGAUUUCACACCCAGGGGGAGGGUUCAGUGUUUUCCCUGGUCUAGCUGGUAAAUAAAGCAAACACUUUGUAAUUAUACUCAUGACCAGCAAGGGCCAAGAAUGUACAAACAUGGUGGAUGAAACCCUUUCUGGGUGAAUUUAAGUGUCUAUGCUAUGCUAAAUACUGAGCCCACAGUACCACUCAGGCAUAUAGUAGGGGUAUUCAAAUUAAUCCAAAUCAGGUCAGGUCUAGUCAAUUCGAGUUAUUCAACAGGUAAGAGAAAAAUCCUUAUUGGAACUGGCUAAAAUUUUAGUUCAAGUAGAAAUGUUAGAAAAGAAGCAAAUGUUAUUUUUGCCAUUAACUUGCAGGUCACAAAAAUUUAGAAUGCAAGAAAGAUAAAUAGAUUGGAUCAGAAAGUAGCCAGAGAGCUGGCGCUGUGCUUCAUUCAUCUGCCAGUGCUCACCAUCGCAGGAAAGGCAAAUGAAACUUACAAAAGUGAAAUGACUUCUUCAAGGUGACAAGAGAGAUGCUCCUCCUGCUUGGGGCUGCUUCCUGUGAAGGGUGUGGCUGCACAGCUGCAAACCAUCCCAUCCCUGCCUCACCCGCACAGGUGGUCGCUGCCACCUAGGACAGCCUGGACUUUGCCAUCUCCUUCUUGCGGAGUAUGAACAAGCAGGCCUCCAGCCCGAUGCAUCAGAUCCUUCCUACCAUGGCUCUCCAUCUUCCACCAUUCUUCAUGGGACUAUCUUCUAAGCUUCCUCAGAGUAUGUUUUGUCCUCAUGCUAGAAGCGGCCCCACUUAGGUCUACCCACUGUUGGAGUUUCCUCGAUCGCUCAUCUUGGAAAGUACAUCCCCAUCCAAUACUGGGUGGAGACCACAUUGGAGACCUUAUGGCCCUGCUCCUGCUAACAACCCAGCACUCUGCUUCCCACUAGGUGACAACGCUGCUGCUGCUGCUGCCACUGUUGCUGCCCACUUUAUAGACAGGUGCAGCUUAGUUUCCAUACCGUUGUUGAGUUGUAAAUGCCCUCUGUGUAAAGGUCAUCCACAGUUGUGAGGUAUAUCAACAUCAUUUGGAGACAGGAUGGCGUUACGGUUAAUGGUGUGAGCUCUGGAAUCAACUGACUGGAGGUUAAGUCUGGCAACUUCUACUUCUUGUAUAACCUUGGGCAAGUAAUUUAAUUUUUCUACAACUCAGUUUUCUUAUUUGUAAAAUUGGGAAAAUACCAGAACCUUUCUUGGAGGGUAAAAGUGAACAUUAAAUGUGAAAAGUUGCUCACAGCCUGGUAACUAUUACAAAUGCUCAAUAAAUCUUUUAUAUAUAUGACAGGAGAAAAACAAAUGAUUAUUUUCAGUGGAUGGCAAGUCAAAUAAAAGUAAAGAGAAAGCCAGAUAUCAGAAGAAAACAGGUUCCAAGGGAGAGAUUAGGGAUGGGGUUGGACUAGAGGAAAUGUAGGCAAAGGCAGGAUAAAUAAUGUUGGAACAGGUUUGUAGGGAGGGAGAAGCAGAAAUUGGAGAUAAAGAAAGAGUAAAAGGAAGAAGGUAUAUUCUAAGCUUUUAAGGAAAGAGAAUUUUAGGGAAAGACUUUGCCAACCGGUUCUCAUCACCCCCACAAUAGUGUGUGCUCGCUCCCUCUGACUACAAGAACCUACAGUCUUUCUUUUAUUUUAUAAUUUUAUAAAUUCUUACCACUAGACUGUAAUCUCUGAACAGUAACAACUCCUCCAGUUUUACUCACUCAUGUAUCCCAGCGUCUAGCUUAAUCUUUUGGACCAGAUAUCUGACUGCAUAGGAAGCAGCCCAGGUCUCUUCCUGUCUUUUCAGAAAGCAUGGGCUUCAAAUUCAUUUGAUUUUAAAAUAAUGAUUGAAGAUAUACAAGUGGUUAGUCCCCUUCCUGCCUGCUCUUGCUAUGAACACAACAACAAAGAUAAAUCAAUAAAAGUUGUGUUUAUUCUCCUUAACUUCAGUUCAUUUUGAGAUUUAGCCUCCUGUUUUGUAUUCACUCAACAGUGUGCUUUGCUCAGUAAGAGAAAACAGUUGUGGAUGAUCAGGACCCUGAUCUAUUUUACAAGUUUCAGUUGCUUUUUAUACUCAUAGGUGGUCUAGGUCUCAUCAGGGAGCCUCUCAGGGCAGACAAAUGGCAGGUGGGUGGAGAGGCCCAGCUUUCUGUUCCACCCCAGCUCAGCUUCUGAGCUCUGCCCCUAGGUUCCAGCACAAUUCUGACCAUAGGUGAGAGAGACUGCAUGCCAGUGCCCAUGUCCCAGGUCCUCUGUGCUGCUUAGAAUGUGGUUCCAGGUUUCAUUCUCCAGCCCUUUCCCCACAGAGGUUACAAUCUUCAAACUGGGCUUUGACCACUUAUCUCUGAGUCCUUGCUCUAACUCUCCCUUCUCUCUUAAGACCACACGUUGCUUUGGUCCUAACAAUAGUAACAACAGUAAUAAUAGCUAACAUUGAGUGUUAGCGGUGUGCCAGAUAUGGUGGGAAGCAUUUUAUUUGCAUAGCCUCAUUCGACCUUCACAAUCAUCCUGUGAAGUAUCAGAACUAUUUAUUUCAUUUCACAGAUGAGGACGCUAAAAGAGGUUAUGUAACUUACUCAAGGCCACAUAGCCUGGAAAUGUCAAAGCUAGCCCUCAAUCCAGAUAAUUGGUCUUUCUGCUUCUUUAUUAUGUCUCUCUAAUCUGUUCCUCUUACAGAAUAAUUCUUUAAAAGACAAAAAUCUGAAUUGGUCAGCCUCCUGCUUGAAACACUACAUUGUUAUCUCUCCGCUUUUAGAAUAAAAUCACUUUGUAUUGGGAGGCCCUGGAGGGUCUGGCCUCUACUUCUAUCCCCAGUUUCAUCUCAUAUCCUUUCUUCUUCCCUCACUAAAUUCCAGCCUCGCUCAGUUCCUGGAGUAAAUGGACUCCUUUCCAGCCUUAACAUAUAUGAGUAUGCCAUUUCCCCUCCGGAAGGCUCUUAUCUCAGCUCUUUGCAUAUCUGGCUCCAUUUUUCCUUCAGUUCUGAGCUUAAAUGCCACUUCCCUAAGAAUUUUUCUAAAUUGAGUCCUCUUCUUAUUCUGUGUCAUAGCACCCUGUUUAUUUUCAUCAUAGCAGAUAACAUUUUGAAAUUACUUGUUUACUGGCUGAUAAUCUGUAUUUUUUUCUUUCUGUUAGAAUGAGUUUUUGAUGAGGGCCUGAAGGCAGAGACUUCAUCUCACUUAUCAUUGAACACUUAGUCCUUUGCAUAUGUAGGUGCUCAGUACAUAUUUGUUGGGUGUGUGAAAGAAUGAUCUCUCUAACUCAGGGGUAGAUUUGCCAUGAAGCUAACAAACUUAAGCUUAAGAGUCUAUUACUUGCUAAUGGCCCUAGCAUUGUGUCCACAUGGUCACAUAUUUUUGAAAAAUUGUCAAAACUGACAUAUUUAAAUUGCAAUUGGUUAAAAUCAUUGGGGGUUUUAUGUACUUCUCAGACACUUCCAUGUAUAGUUAAGUUGCUACUGGCUAUUCUCAAGCAAGACUGAUUUUCAGGAAUACUUCCACUGUUCAUUGCAUGACCUCACUUGCUGUUGUGACACAAAGAUGCAGGGACAUGGCAUCAGAAGUAUGUGGAUUAUAUGUGGAUUGUGGAGGAGAAACAAGGUUUGAAAUGUUUGGCACCAGGUGCUAGUUUACAGAAAAUUCUUCCAAAUCUUAUAGCUCAUUUAUGAAACUUCAACAGUUUUUCCAACUUUAAUAACAAUUCUGAAAAUGUAUUUGGCAUUGGUAAUAAUGAAUAACAAAUCUGAAAGAAACUUCUCUAAAUUAUUGGGUUGGUGCAAAAGCAAUUCCGGUUUUUGCUAUUACUUCUGCACCAACUCAAUAUCGUUAGUUAAAAAAAAAUGAAAACAAAAAUUUCCUAUAAUUGUGGAUUUAUGACACUAGAUGAACCUUAAUAUACACAAAUUUUUAAAAAUUUAGGAAGUCAGGAGAUCCUAGGAUGGAAUGCAGAGUGUGAUAUAAAAAUCUAACUGAAUUAAAAAUUUAUGAAACAAGCUUACUGAAGUGGAUGGGGGAGAAGGAGAAGAGCCUUUGGAAAUGAGUGGAAUCUGUAAGACUCAAGGCAACAGACACUGCAUAAGCACUAUACCCUAUCUGAUAAAGUUGUGUCCCACAGGCAUAAGGGUUAAUAAUUCCAAAAUCACUAUCCAGGUGUCUUAGUUAUUUUGUGCUGCUAUAACGAAACACCUAAGACUGGGGAAUUUAUGAAGAACUGAAAGUUCUGGAGUCUGGGAAGUCCAAGGUCAAGGUGCCAGCAAAUUCAGUUUCUGAUGAGGGGCCCAGUCUCUCCUUCCAAGAUGGCACCUUGUUGCUGUAUCCUCCAGAGGGAGUGAACACUGUGUCCUCACAUGGCAGAAGAGUGUAAGAGCAAACAAGGUCCUAAGCUAAUUCUCUCCAGUAGAGCCCUCAUGACUUAAUUACUUCCCCAAAGGUCCCAACUCUUUUUUUUUUUCUUUUUUGAGAUGGAAUUUUGCUCUUUUUGCCCAGGCUGGAGUGGAAUGGUGCAAUCUCGGCUCACUGCAACCUCCACCUCCCGGGUUCUAGUGAUUCUUCUGCCUCAGCCUCCCGUGUAGCUGGGAUUACAGGUGCGCACCACCACACCUGGCUAAUGUUGUAUUUUUAGUAGAAAUGGGGUUCCACCAUGUUGGCUAGGCUGGUCUUGAACUGCUGACCUCAGGUGAUCCACCCAUGUCAGCCUCCCCAAGUGUUGGGAUUACAGGCACAAGCCAUCGUGCCUGGCCCGGUCCCAUCUCUUAAUGCCAUCAAAAUGGGGAUUAAUUUUUGACAUGAAUUUUGGAGGACAUAUUCAAACUAUAGUAGCAUGUAUACUGAAAUUAAAUAAUUAAGUAAAUAGAUGGUGGAUGGUGAGAGCCAGGUUUCUCACUAUUGGAGUAGGAGGUUACAGAAAAGCAAAAGAAAGAAGCUAGAAUGAGCCAUAAGAUAAUGGACUGGAGUUAGAGACAUCAGUAUGAACUGAUGUUUAGCUUCAUAUAGAUAUGGAUAGUUACAUAUGGAAAUAUUUACUGAUAUGUAUGUAUACACAAGUUAGUAUAUACACCUAUUUUUCCUUGUUUUGUCAGUGGCAAGGGCCCACAAGCAAUAACACUGUAGUAGUAAUGAGCACACCUAAUACUUACAACUUCGUUUUUAAUAUCAUUCUCCAAUAAAAGGAAACAGAGCACUUUGGAGAAAUAAUUGAUUCUGAACUGGGAGAGGAAACAUACAAGAUGAAUCUGGAGCAUCCUAUAGUGUCAGAAAGUAAGAAAGGAUUUAAAAAAAAGUACAGGGGUAUGUUAAAGGGGCACAAGAGCCAACUGAAAGAGCUCCCAAUGGUUAAAGCAGGAAUAAUUUGAGCAAAAAAUAAAUAAUAUUUAAUUACAACCCAACAUAUAACAUAAAUAUCCACAAGUCCAUAGUGAUAUACAUAACUGUUUGAAUACAUAGGUAAGUGGGUGAGAAGAGACAAAUUUCUCAUGCUGAAGCAUUCCAACUAAUUUAUGUAGAAUUUCUUUCUCAAGGAGGUGGACUAUAACUCACCACUCCUUGAGUAUAGGUUGUGCAGAAUGACUUCCUUUGAAGGAAUACAGCAUGCAAAGGAGUACAGCAGGGGAAACGUGCAGACUGUUCAGCAGAGAAACCUAAGAAGCACCACCUCAGCCAGGAGACCAAGGUCAACAUCGAUAUUAAUAAUAAGUCAUGUUGGCAACAUAGACCCUUGAUAUGAUGUGAUGAAAAUGGUAUUUUACUUCUGUGUUUUCUUCCUCCCCAAGAGUGUAACUUCAGUCUAAUCAGAAAAACAUCAGACAAACACUGAUUGAAAGACUUUCUACAGAAUACCUGACCAAUAUUCCUCAAAACUGGUCCUCAAAAACAAGGAAAGUCUGAGAAACUACCACAGCCAAGAGGGGACUAAGAAGACACUACAACUGAGUGUAAUGUGGUAUCUUUUAUGAAUCCUGGAGUGGCAAAAAAAAAAAGAUAUUUGUUUACAACUAAGAAAAUCUACCUAAAGUAUGAACUUUCCUUAAUAAUAAAAUAUCAAUAUUGCUUUAUUAAUUAUAAUCAAUGUAUCAUACUAAUGUGAGAAUCUACAGGAAACACUAGGUAUGGGGUGUAUGAGACCUGUUUAUACUAACUUUACAAAUUUUUUUUGGUAAAUCUAAAGUUAUUCUAAAAAAUAAAGUUUAUUUAAAAACUUUCAAUAAGAUUUGUUAGAGAAAAGACAAUUUAUCUUUAUACUCUCUGUACAGAAAAUGAUAUUCCAAAACCAGUGAUAUAUGAAAAGGUGGUCAAAGAAUAUGUGGUGAAUAUAUACAAGAAAAAAAAAUACUUUAGAGGUGAGUCAUGCAGUUGUGUUCUCGAGGCCAUAAAUUAAGUUGAGUAAUUAAGUUGUGUUGUUACACUAUUUUUCUGUAUUUUGUAGAAUUUGUGAACCACUAGCUUUGCCACAUAUGUAAUUUUUUGUGACUUCUCAUUCUAAAUGAAUAUCACUUUUGGAUCAGAUUUGGUAUACGUAAUUUGGUACUGUUUUCCUUACAUUGGAUUCCCCCAAAUUGUAUAAGCUUCAAGCCCCACAAAACCCCCUCCAACUCCAGAGCUGACCUCAAUGCUAGGUCAAUGGCCAUACCUUGAGCCCCAGACCAGAUGCUUGGGGACCUUAUGAAACCCCUCAUUUGCCAACUGCAAUAUGCUUUAUUUUAUUUUUUUAACCAAUAGUAUUUCUCCCCAAUCUUGGUAGGAGUGUGUGUCUGUGUUUGUGUGGGUGUCUGUGUAUGUGUGUGUAUACAUAUACACAUAUAGCACUUCUAGCAUCCUUGUUGAAAAAGAAAUGUCCACUUCCAUUUUCUGCACUUCUCAUGAGGAUAAAAAAUCAAAUUGCACUGGGAGGAUAGUGGAAAUAUUAUUUAAGGUGUAAACUGGGAAAUUGUUCUAGUUUUGGUUUUUUAUUUCAGAUGGAAGCAUUUGUUGCAGACUCUGAACUUAGAACAGUGGUCAAACAGAUGUUUUCAUUUUAGGAAGGCAGGAUGGGUAUCCAAUUACCAAACAUCCUGUUAAAGUUCGUGUGUGUGUGUGUGUGUGUGUGUGUGUGAGUGUGUGUGUGUGUGUGUGUGUGUGUGAAAUAAUUGCUACCUUUGAGAUUCUCAAGAUAUUACUGGUGCCAAAAGAUCAACAAAAAUUAGAUGAUUA